rnacentral:rRNA from 1 species
CGAAAGCCUGACGGAGCAAUACCGCGUGUGGGAGGAAGGCCCUUGGGUCGUAAACCACUUUUCUUAGGGAAGAAGAACUGACGGUACCUAAGGAAUAAGCCUCGGCUAACUCCGUGCCAGCAGCCGCGGUAAUACGGAGGAGGCAAGCGUUAUCCGGAAUUAUUGGGCGUAAAGCGUCCGCAGGUGGCGAUUCAAGUCUGCUGUCAAAGCACGGGGCUUAACUCCGUAAAGGCAGUGGAAACUGAAUAGCUAGAGUGCCGUAGGGGUAGAGGGAAUUCCCGGUGUAGCGGUGAAAUGCGUAGAGAUCGGGAAGAACAUCGGUGGCGAAAGCGCUCUGCUGGGCCGCAACUGACACUCAGGGACGAAAGCUAGGGGAGCG